AUUGAACGCUGGCGGCAUGCCUUACACAUGCAAGUCGAACGGCAGCACGGGAGCAAUCCUGGUGGCGAGUGGCGAACGGGUGAGUAAUAUAUCGGAACGUGCCCGGUCGUGGGGGAUAACGUAGCGAAAGCUACGCUAAUACCGCAUACGAUCUACGGAUGAAAGCGGGGGAUCGCAAGACCUCGCGCGAUUGGAGCGGCCGAUAUCAGAUUAGGUAGUUGGUGAGGUAAAGGCUCACCAAGCCGACGAUCUGUAGCUGGUCUGAGAGGACGACCAGCCACACUGGGACUGAGACACGGCCCAGACUCCUACGGGAGGCAGCAGUGGGGAAUUUUGGACAAUGGGCGCAAGCCUGAUCCAGCAAUGCGCGUGCAGGAUGAA
rnacentral:rRNA from 1 species